ensembl:lncRNA uncharacterized LOC102157934
AUGGUCUUACCUCCGGCCCUGUCAGUGGGAAUGUGAGAGUUCCAUUCCAUACAUCAGGAGUCAAGCAGGGUGUUUGAUCCAGAGACACAGAAACAUAUCCUGACGGUGAGUCGGUCCCAGGGUCCUUGUUGUCUCAGGCCAAACCUCCCCCUCCCCAUACUCCCACAGCCUGGCCUGGGCUGUGCUGAGCCUUUCCUGCCUCCUCCCAGGAGCCCAAGUUUGCAUCCAUUUCCUCCUGUCCUCUUGAGCUGAGAACUCCCAUCCACCCUGGCCUCAGGCUCCCCAUCUGCUAACGGUGACCUCCUCGUUGGGGGUUGGGCAGAGUAACUGCGUGAAUAUGUGUACAUAGGUUUUGUCCCAGGCCCCCUAGCAAGGGUAGGAGUGAUGCCAGAAUAUACUGUCCUUAUCCUUAUCAUUACCGUGGUCUCCUGUGAGGUGUACAUGACUGAGGACGUGCCCUCCCUGAGGAUGGGGACCCUAAGCUUUCAUUUCCAUGGUCCCAGGGCAGGCAUGGGAGACUCACAGCAAAUGUGAGAUCUCACGCCUUCUUCUAGGACCUGCGAGAGUGAGGCCCAUCCUGCCUUCCUCUCCAGAACAUUCUGGAUUCAGAUACGUGAACAGCUCAGAGAACCAACCCUCUGGGAAAAAGACACCCCCCUCCUAAACAGUUCAGAGACCUCAUGCCCUGAUACAGAGUCCCACAAAGAGUGCAGACAUCUCACAUCCUAGACACCACCCACAAACAGCUCAAAUACAUUACACCUGUCUGCACAGUCCCCAAGCAGCUCAGACAGUUUUGACUGUGGAUGCAGAAAAAUUAGGAUCCCUCAGACAAGGAGAGGCAUUCACCCCCCACGGGUUCUGCAAGGGUUAAGGUGUAAAACCCCUGCAGUUGCUGACCAACAGUGCACUCCGAAGGAAUUCCGGGUGAAAAACAGGAUGAGGCCCUCUGUGCUCUGGACAAGCAGGCCCUUAUUUAGUUAUGUGCUCAGGACAGGAAGAAGUUCAGUGACCCAAGAUUCUUCCAUCCACAGAAAAGCGUGAACCUCCUUAACCUUAGCUAUCUGAUUUUUGAACAGGAAUCGAAUCUUUUUACCAAUAUGCAUGCUUGACUGCUAGCAUUUUCUAGCCCCAGAUCAUCUCGGUUUCUCCGCUACCUCUCCAGAGCUAACUGAGGAGCUGUCUCCCAGGCUGUAGUCCUCAGGAUGACCCCGAGUAAAACUUAAGCCCACAACUCCUAAGUUGUGUGUUUUGCUUUAAGUGCACACCACUCCAGGCAACAGGUCCCCUUCAGCUUAGAGGCCUCACACACCUCCCCCCAGAGCCUAGAGGCUGCACUCUGGGACACAGAGCCACACAUCUCCAGUUCUGGGCUGCUCUGUGGGCAGUGACAGUGAGUCUUUGUUCCAACAGGCCAGAGGAGAGGCCUGGUGUCUGCCAUCCCUGCAGUCUGCCAUCACCGGCAUUUCAUUGUGACAAAGGCAGGUUCACUCCAGGGAUGAGGAGCACCCUGGGGCUGAAGGUUCUGAAGGGCCGUCCCAGGUCUGGGUCCUGAGCAUGGCCAUCGUCUGACCCAUUAUUGUCACCUCUGGUCGUGAUGACACUGCAUCCUACUCCACAAGGGGUUUAGGGUAAAUCCUAGAUUCCCAGCAGGAGACCUGUGGAGCUGGUCAUCUCUGCCAUCUCUUAGAACCCACUUUGCAUACUGGAUCCUGGAGAUGUGAAGUCUUCCCUUCUCAUCGCCUAUGUCAACCCCCUUAAAUCCCUCUGAUCAUCCCUGUCUUUUCCCACACUCCCUCUCUUGGUACAACUGCCACAACUCCUCUCUCUCCCCACAUUCCUCCCACCAGGCCUCCCCUUCCACCCCAGGUGCCUCUGUAGCCCCCUCCCCCAGCCCCAUUCUCAGGACAUCAGUUAUAUCCUCACCCCCAUUGAGUCCCUUCACCCAGCACCCAGGGCUUCCUCAGAGGAUCCCCUCAGGACCCUCCCUGCUCCGUGCUCCCUGCAAGGGCACAACAUUCUACAGGACACUUCUCUCCUGCCUAGACACAGGGAUUGGUCAUAAAGUCCUUGUUAGGGGUGGAAUUGAACAUCUCUACAGGAUCCAGGGGAAAUCCAGACCCAGACUAGUAGUCCAGGGCAGUUCCUGCAGGGCUGGAGGGAAAGGGAUAGGGUUUCUCAAGAGCUUAGCUGAGUGCCCUGCAGGAGGUGGGAUGACACAGUGUAGGGCUGGGUCUGUGAGGACAGGGAAGGGGCCCUGACAGGGCCUGGGGCAGCAGGAGCACCAGGACUGCCCGCCCCAGCUGUUGUCCUCAUGGGCUCUGGCACCCGGCUGAGCUCUGUCCCACCGGAGUUAGAGGAUUAAGCAAGCCACUUACGUGCCCUCCCUGGGCCCAAGUGUCCUCAUAGGGACGGGGUGACAGGGUUUUCUUCCAAGAGACCUAGUGAGGAUUAAUUGAGAUGCUACCUAAGAAGUGCUUAGGACACUGCAAAUCAGAUCACUGACUAUCUAAAACUCAGAGCCUGGUGCGUGGGUGCCAGCUGACUCCUAGAGGGACAUCACUAAAUUGGCCACUGACUGCGGUGCUCAGGGCAGAGGCCCCCACUUCGAGCUCCCGCCCCUCAACCUCAGCAUCUGACUGUGUGAGCCUGGGGUCUGGCUUUGGGGCUCUGUUCCUGUACCCAGUGAGAGCCUGAGCCAGGUGUCUUUGGUUGGACCACGCAGAGUGGUCCAGGAUUCCUCUCUUCCCACGUCUCACAGCUAAUCAACUACCCCCUGGUUGGCUCCCGGUGCAUUCAAAUCUGCAGGAGAUGAGCUUGGCCAAAAUGGGACUGGAGCCAACUCCCAGGCUGUCUGAGAAAGUGUGGGGGGUCCACCUAGGAUGGGAUUGGAGGCUGGGGUACCAAGACAGCGUCCUCCCCACCUCUGUCAAAAGCUAGGGGCUGGUUCCCCUGGGGUCAGGAGGAUGUUCUCAUCCCUCCAUACACAGUACUUGCAUUGUUACACAAUAGAAGCUCCUCCCCUAUGGUACCUCCAGUAGUGGUGCCUUCCAGCCCCGCACCUGCAAUGGUACAUUCCAGCAGUGGAGCGUUCUGUCCUCACACCUCAUCCUCUCCACCAUCCCUUCCCCCCUCCGACCCUGACCUCCAGGAGGUGUGAUCCGCGGGAUGGGGGGCUGUUUCUCACUUCAGCCCUGUGGGUUAUUCUGGUGGAUUUAAUGCAAAUGUGGAACUUUACCAUAGAUCCCAGAAAUCUGGAGGGCUUAUUAAAACUCUGGUCGCUGCCCCCACACCGCCCCAUCGAUGCCCCCCACUCCACCCCAUCGCUGUGUUUCUGAUUCUGUUAAGUCCUAGGUGGAGCCUGAGAAUUUGCGUUUCCAACCAGGCUCAGCCCCCUCCUACACAAUUAAGUGGAGCCUUUGAUCCCAACAUCCCUUCACCAUGUCACUAGUGAACUGUUCCUUCUCUUCUUUCCCUCCCUCCUCGCCCCCUAACACACCCAAAUGAACAAUCUUAUCGCCAGACCCUGAAGAUCUUGAAGGGAGCAAAGUUCUAAGCAUUCUGUUCACUACAGAAGGGCGUCUGCCCCAAGAAUGGUGUGAGGAGCUUGUAACAAGUUUUUCUUCUCCUGCACCUCUGAUGGACAGCGUUCAGGCAGCAGCUGUCAAACUGAAAAAUCCUUACAAUGCUCAGUUUGUGAGGGCAGAGACUUUUUUCCCAUCCAAUGUAGUCAGUCUCCCCAGUGCCCAGCACGGAGUAGGCACUCACUGGAUGAUUGAUGAAUGACUGAGUUUUGACUCAGAAAUCCCACCUAAAAAUGUAUGACAGGAGUUCCCGUGGUGGCUCAGGGGAAACGAAUCUGACUAGUGUCCAUGAGGACACAGGUUCGAUCCCUGGCCUCGCUCAGUGGGUUAAGGAUCCAACGUUGCUGUGAGCUAUGGUGUAGGUUGCAGACACGACUCGGAUCCUCUGUUGCUGUGGCUGUGGCACAGGCCAGUGGCUACAGCUCCGAUUCAACCCUUAGCCUAGGAACCUCCAUAUGUGGUGGGUGCGGCCCUAAAAAGACAAAAAAAAAUGUAUAAUAAACACACACAUUCAAAGAUCUGUGUGUACAAGGAAGGUAGCAGCGAUCAUGAAAAACCACUAAAUGUCCAUUAUAGUCAGUGAUCAUUGGAUGAUAAGUGAACAGCAAUGGGUUCAUAUUAUACCACAGAGCACACCCUGGCCAUGGAAAAGGAUGAGGGGACCAGUGUGUAUUGAUCAGAGGCAUCUUUUUCAGGGCAUGUUGUGGGGGGGAAGGGAAGCAAAUGGGGAAUGUUCACGGUGGAGCCUGGUGUGUGCAUGUGUGUGUGUUGUUGUUGCUGUUUAAGUACAGAGAAAUAUGUUUGAAAGGAACAACGAAAUACCUGUAACUAACCCCAGCCCUAGGCACAGGAAAAAGAAUGUGAAGGAAAGGGAUGACCUGUGUAUUCCAUGUACUGAUGUACUAAUGGAAUCUUUCACAGCAACCCCAUACUCACCUAUUAUUGAAGAACUCUUUAUAAAACAAAGUCAUGUGGUGAAAACAAUACCUGCGCCACAGAGCAUUUGUGUGAGGGCAUCUGCAUGGUGUCCAGAACAGGGUUCUCAAACUCACAUGCCCCAGAGCCAGGCAGUUAAUGUGCACAGGAGAACCCAGCUCUGGGGAAGGUGAGGAAGAGCAGAACAUGGUAAAUGUUCCCUACCAAUCAGCUUCCGGAGUGGGUACAAUAGAGAAGAUGGGACUGGUGCAGACCCCAGACCCUCACGACAACCUCCUCCUCAUCAUUAAUAGUGGUAGUUGCCAGAAUAGCAACAGCUAUCCUGACAAGACCUCAGGAGUUUCCCUCAACCUCUUCAUCUCAGCGCGCGCGCGCGCACACACACACACACACACACACACACACACACACACACCUACCUCAUGAUAAAGACAACAGAUCCUUUUAACACAGCAUUCGGGAACUAGUUAAGACUUACUUAGGAACUGGUUUUGCCCAUGAUGAAUGAAUGGGUUUGGAUUUAUCCUCCCACUGUAAAUAACUAAAACUUUGGAAGUGAUGGCUUUCAAACCAUGCAGGAUGUUGAUGUCUGAGAGAAGGGGGAAAAUGAGGUGAGCAUUACAGUUUCCCCCAGCUUACUUCCUGGAGAGAGUUUCCAGACAUCGGUGCAGGGAGAGGAAAGCUGAACAGAGACCAGAAUUUCUCCCAGGUGAGGAAAUAGAGUUUAGCAUUCAGGGAAGCCAAGGAAGCUAGAACUCCUAGAGCAGAGGACCAGAGAAAAGAGAGCUGCAUGGACAGGGGAGGGCUGCAGAUAGAAGAGAGAGAAAGAGAGAGUGAGCAAGGAUCUGGAGUUCUGCAGAGGGUUCCCUGGGACUCUCCUGCUAAAUUCAGGCUGGGAAAAGAACCACCAAAAAGGAGUGGGAGUACAGAGCUCUCAAAAGGAUAGAAAUAGUUUAUUUUCUCACCUACCAGAAGUAAGAAAACCUCAAAAUAGUUAAGGUAUUGGGUAGAUUUCUCAGCUAGUUUUUACCCCAGUCAUUAGGAAAAUUCGUUCUUGACUAAAAACUAUUCUGGUCCUAUCUUAAUAAUGCUUGAGAGCAAGACUCAAAGGGAUAGAACUCUUUCCAAGUAACUUAACUAUGUCCUGGGAUGAAGUUCCCAGAAUGUAAAGAAAUUACUAUUAGUGUAAUUACAUAAUUCAGAACCCAACAUGAGAAAAUUCACAAUGUCUGGCACCAAUAAAAAAUUAUUAAGCAUGCACUGGAAGAGAAAAUAUAACUAAUAAUGAGGAGAAAAGUCAAUCAAUAAGAACAAACUCAGAAAUAACACAAGUGAUACAGUUAACUGACAAGGAUAUUAAAAGAGCUACUAUAAAAGUAUUGUACAUGUUGAAGAAGAUAGAAGGAAGAUUAAGUUUGUUAAUAGAAGACAUGAAGUUAUUUUUAAAAGAUCCAGAUUGAACUUCUAGGGAUAAAUACACAUGGUCUGAGGAAAAAAAAAAAAUAAAAAAAA